CUACAUGAUACACAGUUUGGAUUUUGU
rnacentral:sRNA from 1 species